GCCAUUAUUGCAUUCUUUAGCUACGUGAAAUGCGUUCGCGUCUCGCGCUGUGCGAAAUAAUUUUAAACGUGUGAUUAGUUUUGUGCGCGGUGUAGAAAAAGGUGUGGCCCGUGCUUUGUGUAUUACUCGUGCUCCACUUCAAAGCAAAGCGUUCGUACGCACUGGAAGAUGGAUCCACGGACGCUGAGACGAGCAGUUGCAACGUGCCCUGUGUCGGCGGUCGGUAGUACUGCCAUAAUGGAAAUUUUCAGGCAAUGUUGCCGCCUGAAAGCCGAGUUUGGUUUCAAGCCAACCUGGACAACUGCUGUAUGAGGCGCUGUUUCUCAGGAGGAUCAGUGGGAAGGCGUCAGGUCAUGCAGAUGAUAGCAUCAAUUUCACAAUGCCCAGCCUUGGUGCCCUCCAUCAAGAGCAAGCCACUUGCGUUCGUCUUCAGGCAGAUGGUUGAUGUCUUCUAGGAAGCAGUUGGGAAGA
rnacentral:lncRNA from 1 species